AUUGCCUCAGUAACGGCGAGUGAAGCGGCAACAGCUCAAAUUUGAAAUCUGGCGGCCUCUGGGCCGUCCGAGUUGUAAUUUGAAGAGGAUGCUUUUGGCGAGGCGCCUUCCGAGUGCCCUGGAACGGGACGCCACAGAGGGUGAGAGCCCCGUAUGGUUGGACGCCGAGCCUCUGUAAAGCUCCUUCGACGAGUCGAGUAGUUUGGGAAUGCUGCUCAAAAUGGGAGGUAAACCCCUUCUAAAGCUAAAUACUGGCCAGAGACCGAUAGCGCACAAGUAGAGUGAUCGAAAGAUGAAAAGCACUUUGAAAAGAGAGUUAAAUAGCACGUGAAAUUGUUGAAAGGGAAGCGCUUGCGACCAGACUUGUGCCCGUCGAAUCAGCCGCCGCUCGCCGGCGGCGCACUUCGGCGGGCUCAGGCCAGCAUCAGUUCGCUGCAGGGGGAGAAAGGCGGCGGGAAUGUGGCUCUUCGGAGUGUUAUAGCCCGCCGCGCAAUACCCCUCGGCGGACUGAGGACCGCGCAUCUGCAAGGAUGCUGGCGUAAUGGUCGUCAGCGACCCGUCUUGAAACACGGACCAAGGAGUCGUCCUAAUAUGCGAGUGUUCGGGUGUAAAACCCCUGCGCGUAAUGAAAGUGAACGGAGGUGAGAGCUUCGGCGCAUCAUCGACCGAUCCUGAUGUUCUCGGAUGGAUUUGAGUAAGAGCAUAUUGGGCCGGACCCGAAAGAAGGUGAACUAUGCCUGUAUAGGGUAAAGCCAGAGGAAACUCUGGUGGAGGCUCGCAGCGGUUCUGACGUGCAAAUCGAUCGUCAAAUAUGGGCAU
rnacentral:rRNA from 1 species